AGUGAACGCUGGCGGUAGGCCUAACACAUGCAAGUCGAACGGCAGCACAGUAAGAGCUUGCUCUUACGGGUGGCGAGUGGCGGACGGGUGAGGAAUACAUCGGAAUCUACUUUUUCGUGGGGGAUAACGUAGGGAAACUUACGCUAAUACCGCAUACGACCUACGGGUGAAAGCAGGGGAUCUUCGGACCUUGCGCGAUUGAAUGAGCCGAUGUCGGAUUAGCUAGUUGGCGGGGUAAAGGCCCACCAAGGCGACGAUCCGUAGCUGGUCUGAGAGGAUGAUCAGCCACACUGGAACUGAGACACGGUCCAGACUCCUACGGGAGGCAGCAGUAGGGAAUCUUGGACAAUGGGCGCAAGCCUGAUCCAGCCAUGCCGCGUGAGUGAAGAAGGCCUUCGGGUUGUAAAGCCCUUUUGUUGGGAAAGAAAAGCAGCGGGUUAAUACCCCGCUGUUCUGACGGUACCCAAAGAAUAAGCACCGGCUAACUUCGUG
rnacentral:rRNA from 1 species